rnacentral:pre_miRNA from 1 species
CAUAUACUCCCUCCGUUCCGAAUUACUUGUCUUAGAUUUGUCUAGAUACGGAUGUAUUUAGCACUAAAAUGAGUCUAGAUACAUUUGUAUCUAGACAAAUCCAAGACAAGUAAUUUAGAAUGGAGGGAGUAUAUA